AUUGUAUAUAACCAUAAGCCCAUAUACUACCACACCUUGCUUAGAUAAGUGUUGUUUACCCCGGAUCUAUGGAAAAGCCUAAGCUUGGGGUUUCAUCAAAAUGUUAGGGACACCGAUGAAAUGUAGGCAAGUGCAUAAAGAUGAAAAAUUCAAAGAAAAAAGAGAGAAAUGAAAAAAAAUGUUAAUAAGAAGUAUCAUGAAGCACUUAUCUAGAAGUAUUAAGGUUGGCAAAAAGCGUGCUCAAAAGAAAGAAAAAAAGAAAAUAUAUGAGCCAAUGAAUCUCAACAAGAACAGUGCCCAAAAGAAAUACCCCCUGAUUUUUAGACUAAACAACAAUUACGAGGGUAACAACACGAACUCUGAG
rnacentral:lncRNA from 1 species